rnacentral:tRNA from 1 species
GUUAAUGUAGCUUAUAUUAAAGCAAAGCACUGAAAAUGCUUAGAUGAGUGAUAUUACUCCAUAAACA